rnacentral:rRNA from 1 species
CCUGCAACGAGCGCAACCUCCGUCACUAGUUGCCAUCAUUAAGUUGGGGACUCUAGUGAGACUGCCUACUCAAGUUGAGAGGAAGGUGGGGAUGACUUCAAAUCAUCACGGCCCUUACGCCUUGGGCCACUCACGUAAUACAAUGGCCGGUACAGAGGGCAGCUACACAGUGAUGUGAUGCAAAUCUCGAAAGCCGGUCUCAGUUCGGAUUGGAGUCUGCAACUCGACUCUUUGAAGCUGGAAUCGCUUGUAAUCGCGCAUCAGCCAUGGCGCGGUGAAUACGUU